GCUAGCUAUGAAACUUCCUUAUAUUGUCCCAUUCCAGUCAUAGAUAGUUGCUACAGGCCAUGCAGAAUACACCACAGUCAAAUAAGGAGUGAUUUUUGAGAUUAAUAUCAUGUAAUAGAUAGCUUUGUACCAUG